GUAGGUGGCAAGCGUUGUCCGGAAUUAUUGGGCGUAAAGCGCGCGCAGGUGGUUCUUUAAGUCUGAUGUGAAAGCCCCCGGCUCAACCGGGGAGGGUCAUUGGAAACUGGGGAACUUGAGUGCAGGAGAGGAAAGUGGAAUUCCACGUGUAGCGGUGAAAUGCGUAGAUAUGUGGAGGAACACCAGUGGCGAAGGCGACUUUCUGGCCUGUAACUGACACUGAGGCGCGAAAGCGUGGGGAGCAAACAGGGAUUAGAUACCCUGGUAGUCCACGCCGUAAACGAUGAGUGCUAAGUGUUGGGGGGGUUUCCGCCCCGUCAGUGCUGCAGCUAACGCAUUAAGCACUCCGCCUGGGGUAGUACGGUCGCAAGACUG
rnacentral:rRNA from 1 species